GAUUAGUCACCUGCAACCUAGGUGACUGGAGUGGUACAGUUGUCAAAUGGCAAUACCCUAAAGUAAGUCCAGGGAGGACAGAAGCACAUAUGAGAAGAGGGUAAAAAAGGGGUUGAUCUUAAUUUUUUUUACAGAUAAAAUCCUUGAAAUCAGGAGCCCAAGAUCCUUGUGACCCUUGUAAUCUCAAGUGGGAGGUGUCAGAAAAGGAUAACUGGAAUGUGGGGCCAAGUGUUCAAAGCAAUUCUGCUUUUUAAUCCUUAGAUAUUGUUCUUCACUGUGAAACAGACCUCAUCCAGUGUUAGACUGUUCACUCUCUAAUUAAGAAUGUGAGGUGGGAUCAGGGCAUUGUGAGAUAAGACAGUU
rnacentral:ncRNA from 1 species